rnacentral:rRNA from 1 species
CAGGCCUAACACAUGCAAGUCGAACGAUGCUUUCGGGCAUAGUGGCGCACGGGUGCGUAACGCGUGGGAAUCUGCCCUGGGGUCUGGGAUAACCGUUGGAAACGACGGCUAAUACCGGAUGAUGAUGAAAAUCCAAAGAUUUAUCGCCCUGGGAUGAGCCCGCGUCCGAUUAGGUAGUUGGUGGGGUAAUGGCCUACCAAGGCGACGAUCCAUAGCUGGUCUGAGAGGAUGAUCAGCCACACUGGGACUGAGACACGGCCCAGACUCCUACGGGAGGCAGCAGUGGGGAAUAUUGGACAAUGGGCGAAAGCCUGAUCCAGCCAUGCCGCGUGAGUGAUGAAGGCCUUAGGGUUGUAAAGCUCUUUCAGUGGGGAAGAUAAUGACGGUACCCACAGAAGAAGCCCCGGCUAACUUCGUGCCAGCAGCCGCGGUAAU